AGCGAACGCUGGCGGCAGGCCUAACACAUGCAAGUCGAACGAACUCUUCGGAGUUAGUGGCGGACGGGUGAGUAACACGCGGGAACGUGCCUUUAGGUUCGGAAUAACUCAGGGAAACUUGUGCUAAUACCGAAUGUGCCCUUCGGGGGAAAGAUUUAUCGCCUUUAGAGCGGCCCGCGUCUGAUUAGCUAGUUGGUGAGGUAAAGGCUCACCAAGGCGACGAUCAGUAGCUGGUCUGAGAGGAUGAUCAGCCACAUUGGGACUGAGACACGGCCCAAACUCCUACGGGAGGCAGCAGUGGGGAAUCUUGCGCAAUGGGCGAAAGCCUGACGCAGCCAUGCCGCGUGAAUGAUGAAGGUCUUAGGAUUGUAAAAUUCUUUCACCGGGGACGAUAAUGACGGUGCCCGGAGAAGAAGCCCCGGCUAACUUCGUGCCAGCCGCCGCGGUAA
rnacentral:rRNA from 1 species